ensembl:lncRNA
ACACUAGUAAGUGGAAGUGGGUUGAAAUAGAACAUAUUAGUUCUGCAUUUGCUCCCCACUCAUUUUCUCUCUUCUUUGAGACAACUAGCUUUCCCAGGAUAGCCAGUCAGUGUCAUGAGAAUUUCCUUAGAUGCACAGUAAAGGUCCAGUUUGCAAACAGAAAAAUCAAAAGUCUUGCUAGGAGAAAAGUAAAGUGAAUAAAUGUCCAGAAUAAAAGAGUGCAGUGGACAUGGAAACAAUCCAACUGAAUCUUCGGACAGCAAGAAAAAGAUUAAAGCUCAGCAGCAGGAAGAUAGCUAUCACAAGCAGGGAGGAGUGGCUUUGAUUCUCUCAAAACAUCUCAGAGGCACUGGGAAAACUUUCUUCACCUUAGCAGCACAGGGAAGGGCAUCAAAACUAAGACAAGGAGUACAUAAAAAUCACCAGUGGUUUGGAUUCCCUGUGGAUUGUUGCUGUUCUGUAGGAGAGUGAGAAAAUAGUGUGGUGGUACUUAACUGCCCAUCAGUUUGAAAACACCACACCUUUAUGUCUCCACAUUUAUCUCCUGUCUCCAGUGGCUGCCAACCUCUCUUGGGCAUCAUAUGCUCCUGUGACUGGCUGAAGUUUUGGAGGUUGUUUAGUUCCAUUUCAGAGCUGGAUGGGACCAACGGUGACCUGCACAGCUCAUGGUCUCCACUCACAUAAAUCAUCCUGCAGCCGCUUGCCUUCAACACUUGCCAAUUUUGCCCAUUGCACAUCUACACUGACAAUUAUCAACCUGCAAGUGAAAUUGCCCACUGUUUUUAUAAAAGCCUCCCGUUCUUACCAUUUGUUCCUUUGCAUUUUAUAGCCUCUUCAAACAUCCUCUUCUCAUGUGUUAUGUUGUUCCUGUUUAGCAAUAGAUAAUUGUAAGGAUUGCGUGCAAUACGGAUUUUGUAGUAUAUUCUGAUGCACUUGUUUAGAAUCAUAUGAAUGAUAUAAAAAAUGCAACGAGGUAGCUUGUUGUCUGUUUCAGUGUUUUUGAUAAAUGAGGAGGGGAAGGAGGGAGGAGAAAUAAAAGCAAAUGCUCCUGAGGAAACAGAGUAUGAAUAGAAAUGAAGGAAAUACAUCACAAGUGCUGCAGUUUCAAGUGCAACAGGGCAAGGGGGUCCCUUUCUCUCCUUCUGAGGAGAAGGAAAGAAAAAUGACCCAAUUAAGAUAAGGAGAGAUAACAAAUUUACUACAAAUGGUAAAAGAAAGUAAGAUAGUAAGAAAGAGAGUUACAAUUAAUAACUCAAAGGGGAGAGAGAGAAGGGCUACGACCACGCUGCUGCUUGCUGUGCUGCCAGAACCUGAAAGAAACCCUCACUCCCAUCACUCAGGAUCAGAGAUCAUGUGGAAGCUCUUGGGAAAUGUAGUAAAGUUCCAUGAUGUGUCCUAGAAGAACAGACUAAACAGCUAAUCAUUUAAAAUGCUGCAAUUUUCAUUUAUUUUCUAAUUGACUAAGUUAUUACCAAAUAGAGGCCUGAAUUUGAGUAAAGAAAUCAGCAAUGGCUAACAGCAGUCAUGAUCAUGUCAUCAUGGCUGAUAUAUGUGCCACAUUAAGUCCUCCUAUGUGAUUCAUAUUUAGAGUUGAUCCUGCACUUCUUCACAGCCAGUAGAAGCAACAGCAGUUUGUAACUGAAAAUGCAUAUCAAUAUAACAUUAUUAAAAUGUAGUUCAUGAUCAAAACAAGAAAAGGAAAAAUAAAUAACUUUUCUUAAAAAAAAAAAAAAGUUUCUGGGAUAUUCACUACCUGGAAAAAGUGAAUACUUAAGUGAAUAUUUAACUAUUUGUACAGUAUGAAAUAGGUAGAAUCCUUUCAAAAUGUAUAGACGUACCUGAAAACUUUUCCCAAUGACUCUGAGACAUGUAUCAGCAGAGAUGUCACUGCUAAUCAAAGAGAACUAAAGAAUUCUUGCAUAAGAACUAAAGCAAGAUUCAGUGUUUCACUGUGCACAUUUUAAGCAAAGCAGGAAGUUAACAUCAUUAAGAGAGAGCAUAAUUGAUGUAAAGUUUGAAAUAAAUCUUAGGAACACAGAAAUAAUGAUAUAAGG